AAGGCUGACCAGAGAACAGCAACCUUCCGGCAGGAUCCCAUCAGUCCUGUGAAGGAAAGAAGACAUUGGAUUGUGGAGACGUCCGUUCAUAGUUAACUGUGGUUAUGUGGGAAAUUUCAGGCCAGUGAUGAAGACAAAGUCAUGCAGUACCCACAAAGCUGCCUGUUCUAAAUGUGUAUUCUCGUCCUCUGCUGGGACACGGACUGCAGCAGCUCAGCUUCAAACACGCACACGAGGACAGCGCGAAAGAAACCGACGGGAGCACAGCCAGCCCGUGCCUUCCUCGCUGCCAGGUAACGUCCAUCAGCGCAGCUGCCGGGCAAAGCUCAGGACGUGCUUAUUAAGCAGUUUCU